rnacentral:rRNA from 1 species
GACGAACGCUGGCGGCGUGCUUAACACAUGCAAGUCGUACGGUAAGGCCCUUUCGGGGGUACACGAGUGGCGAACGGGUGAGUAACACGUGAGUAACCUGCCCACAACUUUGGGAUAACGCUAGGAAACUGGUGCUAAUACUGGAUAUGUGCUCCUGCUGCAUGGUGGGGGUUGGAAAGCUCCGGCGGUUGUGGAUGGACUCGCGGCCUAUCAGCUAGUUGGUGGGGUAGUGGCCUACCAAGGCGGCGACGGGUAGCCGGCCUGAGAGGGUGACCGGCCACAUUGGGACUGAGAUACGGCCCAGACUCCUACGGGAGGCAGCAGUGGGGAAUAUUGCACAAUGGGCGCAAGCCUGAUGCAGCAACGCCGCGUGCGGGAUGACGGCCUUCGGGUUGUAAACCGCUUUCAGCAGGGACGAAGCUUUUUGUGACGGUACCUGCAGAAGAAGCACCGGCUAACUACGUG